CAACCAUCUUGUUAGGACAUUCACAACUUGAAUCGCCAAAAAGAAAGGUGAGAAUCAAAUCAAUCCAUUUAAAUCAUCAAAUAGAUGAAAAACAAGAAAUAGAACCGCAGGAUCUCAAACAAUCAAGCUUACUCAUGCCUAGCCCGCUCCGUACAACGGAGACUUACUGCUCGAUCAAUUGCUUUUGCUUUAGCUGGAAGAUUGUUGAAGAAACAAAAUAUAUUUUGAGAGCCACAGUCCUCAACGAUCGUGGUGUGAAUCCACGGGCACCGGAGCGUUCCUUCCUUGGAGAGCCAAAACUCAAAAUGAAAGCCGCAAAAAAGACGGGCUCUUUCAGGUUGAACGUCGCUGCAUUGAAGAUAUUCGUUUGGGAUGUUUUUUUUGUUGGGAGGUUGCUAUUUUUCGACUCUUGAUGCCGUUUGCUCUUAUUCUGUGGCCUUUUGCCUUGUUGGCUUCGUUUUGGUUUUUUGUUUUCUUUUAUGUGUCUUUAAUUGUAAUAGAUCGAAUCAAAGGCUCGUAAGUUUUGCUUUAAAUGAUGUAUUUUUAGAGGGCUAUUGAUUCACUAAGGACUUGUAAUCUCAUUUUCAAAUUAACGCGUAAGCCCCUUUGGUGAGUUUUAUCCCAAAAAAAAAGGGUUUUUGCUCU